rnacentral:rRNA from 1 species
UACAGAGGGGGCGAGCGUUGUUCGGAAUUACUGGGCGUAAAGGGCGCGUAGGCGGCCUUCUAAGUCGAACGUGAAAUCCCCAGGCUCAACCUGGGAACUGCGUCUGAUACUGGAUGGCUUGAAUCCGGGAGAGGGAUGCAGAAUUCCAGGUGUAGCGGUGAAAUGCGUAGAUAUCUGGAGGAAUACCGGUGGCGAAGGCGGCAUCCUGGACCGGCAUUGACGCUGAGGAGCGAAAGCCAGGGGAGCAAACGGG